CACGUAGGGGGCAAGCGUUGUCCGGAUUUAUUGGGCGUAAAGAGCUCGUAGGCGGCUCAGUAAGUCGGGUGUGAAAACUCCAGGCUCAACCUGGAGACGCCACCUGAUACUGCUGUGGCUAGAGUCCGGUAGGGGAGCAUGGAAUUCCUGGUGUAGCGGUGAAAUGCGCAGAUAACAGGAGGAACACCAGUGGCGAAGGCGGUGCUCUGGGCCGGAACUGACGCUGAGGAGCGAAAGCGUGGGGAGCAAACAGG
rnacentral:rRNA from 1 species